GAUCAGAAUGCUACGGUGAAUACGUUCCCGGGCCUUGUACACACCGCCCGUCACACCAUGGGAGUGGGCUGCAAAAGAAGCAGGUAGUUUAACCUUCGGGAGGACGCUUGCCACUUUGUGGUUCAUGACUGGGGUGAAGUCGUAACAAGGUAGCGCUAGGGGAACCUGGCGCUGGAUCACCUCCUUA
rfam:Vibrio aerogenes CECT 7868 genome assembly, contig: 0070